rnacentral:rRNA from 1 species
GAUGAACGCUGGCGGCGUGCCUAAUACAUGCAAGUCGAGCGAACGGACGAGAAGCUUGCUUCUCUGAUGUUAGCGGCGGACGGGUGAGUAACACGUGGAUAACCUACCUAUAAGACUGGGAUAACUUCGGGAAACCGGAGCUAAUACCGGAUAAUAUUUUGAACCGCAUGGUUCAAAAGUGAAAGACGGUCUUGCUGUCACUUAUAGAUGGAUCCGCGCUGCAUUAGCUAGUUGGUAAGGUAACGGCUUACCAAGGCAACGAUGCAUAGCCGACCUGAGAGGGUGAUCGGCCACACUGGAACUGAGACACGGUCCAGACUCCUACGGGAGGCAGCAGUAGGGAAUCUCCCGCAAUGGGCGAAAGCCUGACGGAGCAACGCCGCGUGAGUGAUGAAGGUCUUCGGAUCGUAAAACUCUGUUAUUAGGGAAGAACAUAUGUGUAAGUAACUGUGCACAUCUUGACGGUACCUAAUCAGAGAGCCACGGCUAACUACGUG